GGGUUGUGAGGUUAAGCGACUAAGCGUACACGGUGGAUGCCCUGGCAGUCAGAGGCGAUGAAGGACGUGCUAAUCUGCGAUAAGCGUCGGUAAGGUGAUAUGAACCGUUAUAACCGGCGAUUUCCGAAUGGGGAAACCCAGUGUGAUUCGUCACACUAUCAUUAACUGAAUCCAUAGGUUAAUGAGGCGAACCGGGGGAACUGAAACAUCUAAGUACCCCGAGGAAAAGAAAUCAACCGAGAUUCCCCCAGUAGCGGCGAGCGAACGGGGAGCAGCCCAGAGCCUGAAUCAGUGUGUGUGUUAGUGGAAGCGUCUGGAAAGGCGUGCGAUACAGGGUGACAGCCCCGUACACAAAAAUGCACAUACUGUGAGCUCGAUGAGUAGGGCGGGACACGUGGUAUCCUGUCUGAAUAUGGGGGGACCAUCCUCCAAGGCUAAAUACUCCUGACUGACCGAUAGUGAACCAGUACCGUGAGGGAAAGGCGAAAAGAACCCCGGCGAGGGGAGUGAAAAAGAACCUGAAACCGUGUACGUACAAGCAGUGGGAGCACAGAGCAAUCUGUGUGACUGCGUACCUUUUGUAUAAUGGGUCAGCGACUUAUAUUCUGUAGCAAGGUUAACCGAAUAGGGGAGCCGAAGGGAAACCGAGUCUUAACUGGGCGUUAAGUUGCAGGGUAUAGACCCGAAACCCGGUGAUCUAGCCAUGGGCAGGUUGAAGGUUGGGUAACACUAACUGGAGGACCGAACCGACUAAUGUUGAAAAAUUAGCGGAUGACUUGUGGCUGGGGGUGAAAGGCCAAUCAAAC
rnacentral:rRNA from 1 species